rnacentral:lncRNA from 1 species
GUGCGACUCACCAGCGGCUCGGAGCUGGAGUCCCGCGUCCCCGCGGCGGUAAGUCGUGCCUCCCGCCGCCGGGACUCUGCCCCUCGUCUCGGGCCGCGCAUGCGGCUGCGGGUUUUGCCCGUCUCCCUCUGUCACUGUCACUGUAGUCUGCUUUUCUCGGACGGAGCAAGGUUGUCUGGGCCAGCGUCCCGGUCCCCCGACUCUGACCUCCCCGGCGUUGGUCCCCUGCAGGGUCACUGGGAGCUCUCUGGUGGGUUCAGCCUGAGUGUCCCCUGUCCCCUGACUCUAACCCCCAGUGGUGGUCCCCUGCAGGCUCACUGGAGGGCCUCUGGUGGGUUGAGCCCGGCCUGGGUAUCCUCUCCGCUGGCUUUCCUUGUGGCUGGUCUCAGUUUCCUGGGUGUGUUUGAAAGCCGGAAUUACUUCCAGACUUUCUUGUGAUUUUCUUUGGGGUCAGAUCUGUGUUCUUUACCUGUUGUCUCUCCGAAUGGGGCUGUGGCCCUGAGAAUUAACUCUGUGUUGUCUUUGUGUAAGUGUUAACUUCUUAAGUCAGUCUUGGCUUGACCCUGACCAUCUUGUCUUCUGUUUGUCUUGUGAAUCAUCUGGUACCUUUUUAUCUUAUUAAGAGGGAAGGAGAAUUCCUGGUGAGUCAGACUUCGUUCCAGUGUCAGGUUGAAGAAAUCCAGACCUUGGUCGGGAUUCGGGGGGCCUCAGGGUUAAUCUUUUUGCGUACCGGGGAGCCGCCUGGUUUAAGAAAUCAAGCUUCUCUGGUCGUACUGGCCUGCUUCUACCGAUGUCCCAACCGGGACAAGGAGAGGUCCAUUCACACAGAAUCACACAGACUUCACCCAGAAUCACCCAGGCUUCACACAGAAUCAUACAGAAUCACGCAGUGUGACUCUAUCUGCUAGUCAGCUUUCACCUUUUUUCUUUUUUUAUAAGUCACCAGGCCCAUCCAACUUCCCAACAUGUGCAACACCUUAAAUGGGACAAAGGACUCCCUUCUAGGAUUUUUUUUAAAUAAUUGGGAUCAGGGGCGCCUGGGUGGCUUAGUCGGUUGGGCAUCCGACUUGGGCUCAGGUCAUGAUCUCACAGUUUGUGAGCUCGAGCCCCACAUCUGGCUGUGUGCUGACAGCUCGGAGCCUGGAGCCUGCUUCGGAUUCUGUGUCUCCCUCUCUCUCUGCCCCUCCUCCGCUUGCACUCUUUCUCUCUCUCAAAAAUAAGUAAACAUUAAAAAUAAAUAAAUAAAUAAUUGGGAUCAGUUUAAAUUGGAUGGUUUGAAGAAAAGGAAAACAAAAAAAUUUUUUUUUUUUUUUUUGCAUGGCACUGUUUGGCCCCAAUAUCUUAGGCGAACAAGAACCAGGAACAGUGGCUCCAAAAUGGACCAUUAAAUUUGUAUGCUCGAAUUUAAAUUUGAAUACUAUCUUGCAGUUGGAUUUGUUUUGCAAAAGAUCUCAGAAGUAGGGAGAGACACCAAGACCCCAAAUUAAGGAAUUCUUGCAGAGUCUCUGUGGCCUCAGAUCGUUACCACCGGCACCCCUCUCACUGCUGGGUUGAAACCAGACAUUUUAUUUAUUUACUCAUCUAUUUAAAUUUAUAUUUAUUUAUUUGAGAGAGAGAGCGAGCAGGGGAGGGGCAGAGUGUGAGGAAGACAGAAUCCUAAGCAGGCUCUGCGAAGUCAGCAGAGAGCCCAGUGUGGGCCUCGAACUCACGAACCAUGAGAUCAUGUCCUGAGUCGAAGUCAAGAGUCGGACGCUUAACCCGCUGAGCCACUCAGGCACCCCAAAACCAGACAUUUUAUUUAUUUAUUUAUUUAUUUUUUUUAUAAAAUUUUUUUUUUAACGUUUAUUUUUGAGACAGAGAGAGACAGAGCAUGAACGGGGGAGGGGCAGAGAGAGAGCGAGACACAGAAUCGGAAGCAGGCUCCAGGCUCCGAGCCAUCAGCCCAGAGCCCGAUGUGGGGCUCGAACUCACGGACCGCGAGAUCGUGACCUGAGCCGAAGUCGGACGCUCAACCGACUGAGCCACCCAGGCGCCCCAAAACCAGACAUUUUAGACAAUCCCCUGUUCUAGUCAAGUGGGACCUAGUACUCCUUUGCAGCAGUCCCAUCCCAAACCCCCUCUACCCCUGCGACUUUGACCCCAACAACUUCCCCUCCUUCCUCCAAGGUCUCCCCACCUCCUUAUUCAUAAGGAGCUUCCCUGCCCCUGCAUCCUCCUCCCUCCUCUGGAGUAAGUCCCACUAGCACCCACAGUGCCCACCCACCCACCACAGGCCCCAACUGGAUCUGUUUCCCCUUAGGGAAAGGACAUACCCGAGGAAGGGAUUACCAGAGUUUCGUGUCUUGCUUACAGACCUGGUUCUGUGUAAAGAAAAGUUGGGUCAUUUUUCCAAAACAAACAAACAAACAAACACCUGACGAGAUGUCAUCCCAGGCCUUACUGUUGCACCCUAGAUGAGGAAGACAGAUCCUUAGGAAGGCUGGGGAUUAUGCUGACAGCCUGGGGUCUUAGGGUCUGCCAAUCCAGGGGACGGAGUGCUUGGGGCCGGAUGAAAUGCUGUCCCUGCUUGGGACCCACAGUAGGAUCAGGAGGGCACAACCCCCAGGGGGCAGAGGCACUUUAUUACCUGCCUGUCUGAAGGGAUGACGAAGCGCCUAGCCAAACCAGCUAAUUAUGACAAAGGGAGGGAAAUACCUCGGCAAAAAGGAUGAGAAUUCAGCCGUCUUUCUAAACCACUGAUGGACGCCUUCCGCAGACGCCCAAAUGGAGACCCAGAGUCGCCGCGGGGAGGUCUUUACUGACUGUGUGCUUUAUCGUCCAGCCUGCCUCUGAUCUUAGGGGGAAGCUACUGACGUCAGAGGCAGGUUCUCAGUCCCUGCUGUCACCUUUGGUGGAGGAGGCCUUCAAGGUUUUUAAUAACUGAGACAGCGCAGAGGAGGCCAGUAAAGACAAGGGUAGCAAAACAGGCACAGGUUCUGGCUGCCCUGCUCAGGGUGACCCCAGGAGGCCCAGAGGCCGUAGCCAGAACCAUCGGAACAAGUGUGCGGAAUGCAGGCGGGAAGGCGGGGGGACCUGAGCCUGCCCGCCCCAGAGAGCGAAGGGCACACACGGACUCCCACCCCCGGCCAGUCUCUCGGAAGAGGGGCCGUGCGACCACAAAGAGGCCCCAGGAGCUGCCCGCCCCAGCACCCACCUGACCCCUUACCAUUGUACUAGCGGAGCCUCGGUCACCCUUGACGUGGCAGGUAGGAAAACUAAAUUCCGUGUAGAUACUGGAGCCGCCUGCUCUGUCCUGACCCAACCUGUGGGCCCUUCCCCAAGCGUGACAUGUGCUAACUGGGAGAGAUGCGGCCAAAGGUGAGAGCGUUCACUUUCCCCCUCGCCUGUGAAGCCAGAUCAACUGUUCUACGCAUUCCUUUCUGUAGGGCCCGGAAUGCUCUGGGGAGAGAUCUACGAAACCAUUCUGGAGCCGCUCUUUACCUUGAAAAGGGUGAUAUUAAAAUGGAGAUAGACCAGAAACUGGGAUUUCAGCCGUGGGCACUACUGGAUGGUCCCAGGCUUGAGCCGCAGAUACUCCUGAGGACAAACAACCAAGUAGACUCACGUCCCAGGGGAGGCAAAAAAAAAACAAAACAAAAAAAAAGUCUCCCCCGUUCAGGGAAAGGUAAAACCUAGUGCAGGGUGUCUAGAAAAAAAUAGUUUCCCGUAAAAAGUAAAUCUUUAGGAGGAAUCCAGCUGAUAAUUUCAAAAUUUCUCAAGUAUGGAUGGAUCAAGCCUUGUCAAUCCCCAUGUAAUACCCCAGUCCUCCCAGUGAGGAAGCCCAGCGGAGAAUAUUGCUUUGUACAGGAUUUGAGGGCCAUAAAUAAAGCUGUUCUCAUACACCCGGUAGUACCCAACCCGUAUACUCCGCUUACCCAGGGUCCAGGCGAUGCUAAAUUUUUUACCAUCCUGGACCUGAAGGGUGCCUUUUUCUGCACAUCCCUUUAUGAGGAGAGUCACUAUUUACUCGCCUUCGAAUGGAAAACCCCUGAUACUCAAGACACUACCCAGCACACCUGGGUGGUGCUUCCCUGGGGCCUUAGAGACACCCCCCACCAAUCUAUUUGGAAAUAUAGUGGCAAAAGAGUUACAAGAAUUAAAAUGGAGAGAUGGGAUCCGCUUACAACAUGGUGAUUUGUUAACAGCCAGUUUGACUAAGCAGUCCUCGGACUGUAAUACCGCAAAAACCUUAUGUUUUCUAGCUAACAGAGGAUAUAGGGUCUCCCCCAUCAAAGGCUCACAUAUCACAACAACACGGCCAAUAUCUGGGCUUCAUCCUAUCUCCAGGCACCCACGUCCUGGCCACGGAUCCCAAGAGGACCAGCAGCGCCUGCCCACACUGCCAACUAGAAAGCAACUCCGUGGCUUUCUUGACACGAGAGAGUUCUCUUGUAUCUGGUUCCCCAGUUACGGCCCUGAUGCAAAGCCCCUAUAUGAGGCCUUGAAGGGGGAAGAAAGGGAACCCCUACAAGAGACUGUGUUGGGGGGCUUUUAAAGCCUUGAAAAUGGAGCUGGAUGGAGCCCCUGCACCGGAGUUCCCCUAUCUGGAUAAACAUUUUACCUCAUCUACCCAUGAGAGGCAGGCUUUGGGGGUCCUAACUCAAAAGCUGGACCCUGAUCAGAGACUACUUUUCAAAAUGACUAGACCCAGUUGCACAGGGACGGCCCAGCAGUGAUGGCCACAUCUCUCUUAGCGAGGCCAGUAAGCUUACCCCGGGUCAGCCUAACUCCCUGUCAGGUUCAGACCAUGUUAGAAACUAGAGGGCACCACUGGCUGACUGGAGGAAGGCUAACUAAGUAUCAGGCCCUCUUGCCAGAUUCCCCAGAUAUUUUGAAGGUCCACUGGACUGCACCCUGCUUCACCCUGGAGGUUAAGGGUCUCCAGCAUCAGUAUGGAGACAGUAGAGCAGACUUCUAGCAGACCUGACCUUCAAGACAGACCCCUUGACAAUCUGGAUAUGGUGUCAUUUAUGGACAGGACACUUGUGGAGAGAGGCAUCUGGAAGGCAGGGUACGUGAUCGUGAACCUAAGUAGGGUCAUUGAGGCCAGAGCUCACCUCAACACUUCAUCCACCCACAAGGUUGAACUGAUAGCCCUAAUUAGGACCUUGCAGUUGGGGGAAGGAAAAAGAUGAAAUCUCGACACUGAUUCAAAAUAUGGGUUCCAUGUACUACAUGCCCUCGCGGUCGUCCAGAAAGACAGGAAAAUGUUAACAGCGAGAAUUCACCAAUAAAACGUAAGGACCCAAUCUUCACUCUUGUAGAGGCAGUACAGCUUCUCGUUUAGGUGGCUGUAGUCCAUUGUAAAAGUUGUCAGAAAGAUGGGACCUCUGUAAGCAAAGAAAAUAAUAGUAAGGCUGACCGAUCAGCUGUUCACAGUCCAUGGAGCACAAAAACCAGAUCAAAUUACCACCUUGAUGGUUGGCUCCUCUGAGUUCCCCGGCCACCCUCAGUGCUCCCUGCUGGCAUGGGAGGACACAGAGAGACAGGGAUAUACAGAAUAAAGUGCUGGUAGCUUAUGAGAGAGGACAAAAUUCUCAUUCGGAAGCCCGACAAGAAAAGCUCAAACAUUGACAUGAUGCAUGCCACCCAUUAUGGCAGAGAUGUCCAAUGGGACUUGGUGCAAAAGGUCUUUCUAGGUCAGGGACUUAGACAAUAAAAGCAAGUUACCCUUGCCUGUGACUUCUGCACCCAAAAUAAACCACAGAGCCGUCCAGUCUAUCCCCGCUUCUCAUGCCGGUCCAAGGCCAGGGGGCAUUUCCUGGGGAAGAUUGGCAAGUGGAUUCUACCCAGAUGCCAUCACAAGCAGGCUACAGACAUUACCUCGUGUUUGUUGAUGUUUCUACCGAAUGGGUAUAAGCCUUCCCACCCGGGUCUGGGAAGGCGACUGAGGUCUGUAAAUCCCUCCUCAAAGGGAAUUCCCGAGUCUCUCCAAAGUGGUAACGGGCCUUCUUUGAUGGCUAAUGUCACCCAGAGCCUUUCAGCAGCCCUGACAUGCUCCCUGGCACCCCCAUUCCUCAGGGAAGGUAGAAAAGAUGAAUCCGACCCUUAAAAAGAUGCGAGCAAAACUCUGUCAAGAAACUGAAGAGCCUUGGGUCACAUUGCUUCCUCUCACACCACUCAGGAUUCCCACCGCCCCUAAGACUCAGCGCAUUUGAAAUGACAGGAGCGACCCUUCUUCCAGUGAAUGACAUGGGAGACCCUUCUUCCAGCCCGUAUUCCACCACGCGGGAAGAUAAGCCAGAACUUUCGGCCUUUGAUUUCUUUGUUUGGGCUGAGUGCUAAGAGCCAGUUGGGCUUCUGCUAAUCAUAGGCUGCCGGCACCCCUAGGGGUGAUUUAGAAGAGCCCUCCCCUCUGCAAAUUGAUCCAGGGGGUCAGGCCUUCCUUCCAAGUUGUAAGGAGGGCUCCCCAGAAGAAAAUCAGUUGCUCCCCAAGUGGCAAGGUCCUUACCAGGUGAUUUUUAGUCACUCCAGUGGCAGUUAAGCUGCAAGGAAUCCCUAGCUGGGGACAUCUUUCCAGGCUAAAAUCUUUUUCUCCUGGACCUCCUCAGAAACGCCUGGAAGGCCUGGAACCAUCUUCCUCACGUGAGCCUGUGGGAGACCUCAGAUACUUGGUUCCAGAAGCGAGCCUCAGAGUCAGAUAAGUGAUUCUAUCUUGGUGGAUUGGUUUGCUGACGUUUCUUUUUGUUGCCUCUGUUUUCCUUUUUCUUCUCUGUGGGUACAUUUCGGGGCACUCCACUCUGGCAAACACCUGUUCUGCCCCUGCUGGGUCUAGAAGACCAGAACCAAUGAUGGGUUGCAUAAUGUGGGCCCUUCUCUUGGCCCUUCUCCUGGGGAUGAGUUGGGAAGGAAAUGACAAAGGGAGGGAAACCUGGGGAGAAAAUUCAAUUGUCAAUUUCUCCAGCAUCGUGGCCUCGGGAAAUAAUCUCUCUAACUGUUGGAUCUGCCAUCCCGGCCCACGGGAUGGGGUUCCUAAGCUCCAGUUCGAGCCUACAAACGAGGAUGUGCCUCUCACUUUGACUUCCGGACCCAUUAGGAGCACACCACUCCUGGUGGCGGAACUCAAGGACCGCGAGGAUAUGACGUGUGUGACCCUUACAGACACUUGGAACCAAACUGGGCUCCAGGUUAAGCGCCCUCUUCUCUGUAAAGAACAGGGGCGGCCCUGUUGCCCCUGCGAGACCAACACCUGCCUUACCAGUGCGGGCAGCUCGCCCUCCAUUUAUCCCAUGUCCUUUUCCAUUGCAAGCUCUUCGUGUGUCCCCAACCAGACUCACUGGUGUGUGGACUCCUCUCUGCUUCCCCCGGGCGACCAACCUAACUUCUCCUGUACUCACUGGAAAGGAACAGCAACCCCUUCCUGGAGGCUCACCUAUCAGACCCCAUCUGCCUUCGAUAGCCACGAGGGAAUAGAGGAGGACGCAGAGCUAGGUGGGGGGCCGAUGGACGGAGGGCCCCUGUCCCCCAGGUGCAAGAGCACACCUAAGUGGGGUCCCCUUUUACGAAGUUGGUUUAAUUCCUCUUCAGCCCGCCGGGCCUGUGCCCCCCCUGGAUAUCUGUUCCUCUGUGGGCCGCCACAGAAUAAACUGCCCUAUGAAGGGAGCCCCGAUUCCUCCUUCUCCUGGCCUCUUCGGGCAGUGGCCUACGCGUGUUUAGAUAAUGUCCACUUCCGGGGACAAUGCACUGUGGGACGACUGGGCGCAGAAGGAUUAGGCGCCACUAUAUAUAACGUCACCUCCCAAGGCAGACGUAAGAGAGCCCUCGGGCUUAUCUUGGCGGCAGCUGGAGAAGCCACGGGACCGGCUGCCCCCCGGGAGGGCAUUGCCUAUCAUGAGACGACCUUAAAAAGCCUUACCCAGGUCAUCGAAAACCUGGCCUCAAGCGCUGGCGACACCUCAGAGGGCCUCCAGGAGUCCCUAGAUUCCCUUGACAGUAGGUUAGCUGUAGAUUAUCUUCUGGCCACACAAGGGGGUGUCUGUGCGGUAGUCAACGACACGUGCUGUACGUACAUCAACGCCUCUGGGGAGGUCGAACUAAAUACCCAGGAGAUUUACAGACAAGCCAGAUGGUUGCAUGGGUUCAAGAGCCCCAGUGCCCAAACUAUAUAGGACUCAGAGGUUAUACGCCUAACAUCGCCUGAUUCCGUUCUUUCCUGGGCCCUCUUGUGGCAAAAAAUUCUUCUGUUACUAUUCAGACCCUACCUCCUUAAUCUUUUGGUUAAGUUUGAGUCUUCUAGAGGACGGCAGUUUCUUGUCAAACAGAUAGUGGCACAAGGGCCCCACCUAUCCAGCCCCAAGAGGAACAAGGUCCUUACAGGUCGUUAGAGCAGUCAGCGGGAGAGUUUUACUCCUCCUGGUAGGACAGGGACGACGCCCCGCUCAGCAAGAAGCAGUUUCAGAAGAUGAGACCUUCGGCCCCUCCUCCUUAGGACUAAGGAGGGUAAAAUCUCUCCUGUGGAGGUGGGGAGGGGUGAGGUAGACCAGGGGCUGUGUCUGGGACCCCCCCCCCCCCCCCCGCCCUAACCACAAUGCCCAUUGCUCUGUGCUUUUGUCACCUUAGGAGAAAAGGCUGAGAGCUACAUGCUUUUGAGCAUUAUAUCUCAUAGGGAUGCGGGGGCAGGAUGUUUUCCAGAAAGAACUCAAAUGAAGAAACCAAACUAAACCAAGCCUGUGCCAAGAUGGACCCCAGCACGGACCCUCACCUACUUUUUUCGUCGUUAGAAUACCAAUAAUCCCGGCCGUGGGUGGAUACUUAACAUGCUAAUAAGACACGUGCUGCGGAAGCAUGUUCUGUCCACUGCGCCUGCGCCCCAACCUCCUUUGUCUCCACCUCCACCUGCUGAGAUGUCCCUCCUUCGCCGCUUCAGCCGCCUUGCAGGCUUUGCCGGCCUUUGUUCCGGGAGCCGGCUGGGGACGUUUGUUCCACCGCCGUCUCUCUGGUCUGGAGCAUAGACCCCCAAUAAACGCCGCCCGAACCUUUUCUUGGCGUCGUGUCAGUUUCUGUUUUUGCGGAGAGCUGGAGAACCCUGGGGUCCAGAACAGUCCCGCCGGGUUCCUCUUUCUUGGCUUUCUCAAGUCCCGGUCCCUGGUGAUGUGGAUGUCUUUUUACUUGUUUACUUGUUAGGGAGGGUAUUUUUCAUAUGGGAGAUUUGCUACCUGCUUUCAGCGGGACGGAGGAGGGUGUGAGUGUCCUUGCACUAUUUCCUAGGUAACUUAUUUAAUUAAGAUCAUCAAUAUUGCCAGAGUGAUACCUGCCCUUUCUCUCUAUAUCAUUGUAGGGGAGGCAAAACUUUACCUCUUCCCAUCUUAGGUUUUUGCCUAGGACUCUUAACGAAAACACUAACAAGAGAAAAACAGUUCACACACACAGUGCACAUCACAAGGGAAACCUAAAUGAAAACAAACUCACGAUGGUAACUUAGAAUUCCAACUUAUUUUCCAUCUUCAAUAAAGGAGAGCACAUUUGCAGAGGUGAUAGGACAAAGGAAAACAAUUUUAGGCCCCAAGGCCAACAAGCUGGGAA